AACGCACAUUGCGCCCUUUGGUAUUCCGAAGGGCAUGCCUGUUCGAGCGUCAUUUCAAACCUCAAGCUUCUGCUUGGUAUUGAGCGCUCGCCCUCUACCCACAGAGGGCGUGCUCGAAACUCAUGGGCGGUGAUGUCCAGCGUCGCAGCGUAUUCGUAACACAAUCUCGCUACCGACACCUCCUGGACAACUCACCCGCCUGGCAAGCGGCUUGCUGCCGUCAAAAAGCAGCACCACUUCUUCAAGGUUUGACCUCGGAUCAGGUAGGAAUACCCGCUGAACUUAA
rnacentral:misc_RNA from 1 species